UGGUCAUGCCACUCAAGAUGGUUGUUCUCUUGCUCUCUGUACAUCUUUUGGCCUUCAAAUGCCUGUUUCACUUAUACCAUUUGCAUUUGACUGACCGUCCUAAGUACUUGCCCCAGGCUCCAGCUUACGAUUGUUUUAAUCAACAAGGGCAUAAAGGGCAUGCCCCUCUGGUGGUUUCCCUGGUAACUAAUGAGGCAAAACCUGACAUCAAUUCUCUUGUAACUGGUAAUCUCCUCUUCCCCUGAUGAGAAGACAGCCACCAAGUCCUGCCCACUAUCUGCUGCACACCGUGGGGUGUCAUUCCAGGACCCUGCUACAGACAUAUAAGGAAGAAGGAAGUUCCCCGAUCCAGGAAGAUCCCACCUGCCGUGGAGCACUAAGCCUGUGCACCGCAGCUAUUGAGCCUGUGCCCUAGAGCCUGGGAGCCGCAUUUCCUGAGCCCGCGUGCCAGACUCCUGAAGCCUGCAUGGCUUACAGCCUGUACUCUGCAGCAAGAGAAGCCAUCACAAAAAGAAGCUGCUGUAAUGAGAAGCCUGCAUACCACAACUAGAGAGAAGCACCCUUUUUCUGCAACUAGAAAAAAGCCUGUGCAGCAGUGAUGGAUGACCCAGCACAGAAAAAAAAUGAAGAAGGUACAGAGCAAUGGUAAAAUAUACUAAUAUAUGUCCUUAAGGGGCUUCCUAGGUGACCCUAUGGUAAAGAACCCACCUGCCAGUGUGCUUAGAAAAAGGUGUCCUAUAUAUACACUCAUCAUCUGUAUCUCUGGAAGGCCAUGUAAGAAGUUAAUGACAGUGACUGCCCCUGGGGACAUAUCUAGUGCCUAGAUAUUUGGGGCCAGGAGAGGGAAGGAAACUUUUCACUGUGUUUCUUUUUUUCUUUCUUUGUUUCUUUUUUUUUUUUUUUGAUUGAAGUAUAAUAGAUUUAUAAUAUUUUUGUUUCAGGUGUACAGAACAGCAAUUCAGUGAUAUAUAUGUAUAGUCUUUUUCAUAUUCUCUUCCCUUAUAGGUUAUUCCAAAACAUUUAGUAUAGUUCCCAGUGCUAUAUAGUAGAUACUCAGAGUUUCCACUGUUUCUUUUAGUUAUCCAAAUGUUUUAGGGCUUCUCUCGCAGCUCAGUUAGUUUGGUAAAGAAUCAGCCUGUACUGCAGGAAUCCACCUGCAAUGCAGGAGAUCCAAGUUUGAUUCUUCAGUCCAGAAAAUCCCCUGGAGAAGGAAAUAGCAACCCAUUCCAAUAUUUUUGCCUGGAAAAUCCCGUGGAGAGAGGAGCCUGGUGGGCUAUAGUCCAUGGGGUCACAAGAGUCAGAUACAACUUAGCGACUAAACCAAGCAAAUGUUUCACCUGAAUGUGUAGACCAAUAAAAAAUUAACAAUUGAAAGAUACAUAGUGAAAUAAAAAUAUUUCUUUCUCUUCUGCCACUCACAUCUAGUAUGUGCCAAAUUCAUUUCAUAUCAUUCUGUUAUAUGGUCAUGUAGAACUGUCCUUGUCUGGCAUUAGUAUAUAUUAUUAAAUUGAAAAGGAAAAGAACUGAAAUGUUAUUCCAGCUAUACUGGAAUCUUGUGCUAGGACAAUUUUGCUGCAUUAGGAAAAUGUGUCUUUUACCAGAAUCUGUCCUACAGUGAGUAGUGCUACAAAGGUCUGGAGAGAAACCAGAAUACACUGUUAAAAUCAAGUUUGGGCCCCCAAUUUAAAAAUUCUAUUUCUAUGUUGUUUUGUCACUAAGUUGCAUCUGACUCUUUACAGACCCCAUGGACUGUGGCCCACCAGGCUCCUAAGUCCGUGGAAUUUCCCAGGCAAGAAAAGUGGAGUGGGUUGCCAUUUCCUUCUCCAGGAGAUCUUCCCAACUCAGGAAUUAAAACCGCAUCUCCUGCAUUGGCAGGCAGAUUCUUUACCACAGAGCCACCUGGGAAGCCCCAAGAUUCCAUUUAUAACUUUAUGAAAAAUAGUUUUGAAAACAAAACCAAACUCUACAUUUUUCUUGAAGGUCACACAUUAGUAUGAAGCGGGACGGGGGCGGGGGGUGGCUAUUAAUAAAGACCACGGUGUGCUACUCUUCCACUGUUCUCAAGGAGGAUCAGAACAAGAGACAUUAUUUUAAAAAAAAAAGAGAUGGC
ensembl:lncRNA